AGAGUUUGAUCCUGGCUCAGAGUGAACGCUGGCGGCAGGCCUAACACUGCAAGUCGAACGGCAGCACAGUAAGAGCUUGCUCUUAUAGGUGGCGAGUGGCGGACGGGUGAGGAAUACAUCGGGAUCUACUCUUUCGUGGGGGAUAACGUAGUGGAAACUUACGCUAAUACCGCAUACGACCUACGGGUGAAAGCGGAGGACCUUCGGGCUUCGCGCGGUCGAAUGAGCCGAUGUCGGAUUAGCUAGUUGGCGGGGUAAAGGCCCACCAAGGCGACGAUCCGUAGCUGGUCUGAAAGUGAUGAUCAGCCACACUGGAACUUGAGACACGGUCCAGACUCCUACGGGAGGCAGCAGUGGGGAAUAUUGGACAAUGGGCGCAAGCCUGAUCCAGCCAUGCCGCGUUGGUGUGAAGAAGGCCUUCGGGUUGUAAAGCCCUUUUGUUGGGAAAGAAAAGCAGUCGGUUAAUACCCGAUUGUUCUGACGGUACCCAAGAAUAGCAC
rnacentral:rRNA from 1 species